CGUAGGGACCAAGCGUUGUUCGGAUUUACUGGGCGUAAAGGGCGCGUAGGCGGCAAUUCAAGUCAUCUGUGAAAUCUCCGGGCUUAACUCGGAACGGUCAGAUGAUACUGCUUUGCUCGAGUGCGGAAGGGGCAAUCGGAAUUCUUGGUGUAGCGGUGAAAUGCGUAGAUAUCAAGAGGAACACCUGAGGUGAAGACGGGUUGCUGGGCCGACGCUGACGCUGACAGCGCGAAAGCCAGGGGAGCAAACGGGAUUAGAUACCCCGGUAGUCCUGGCCCUAAACGAUGAAUACUUGGUGUCUGGAGUUUUUAGUGCUCCGGGUGCCGUCGCUAACGUUUUUAGUAUUCCGCCUGGGGAGUACGCUCGCAAGAGUG
rnacentral:rRNA from 1 species